GAUGAACGCUAGCGAUAGGCCUAACACAUGCAAGUCGAGGGGCAGCAUAGAGUAGCAAUACUUUGAUGGCGACCGGCGCACGGGUGAGUAACACGUAUGCAACCUACCUACAUCAGGGGAAUAACCCGGAGAAAUUCGGACUAAUACCGCAUAAUACAGGGAUGCCGCAUGGCAAUAUUUGUUAAAGAUUUAUCGGAUGUAGAUGGGCAUGCGUUCCAUUAGCUGGUUGGUAAGGUAACGGCUUACUAAGGCAACGAUGGAUAGGGGAACUGAGAGGUUUGUCCCCCACACUGGAACUGAGACACGGACCAGACUCCUACGGGAGGCAGCAGUGAGGAAUAUUGGUCAAUGGACGAGAGUCUGAACCAGCCAAAUCGCGUGAAGGAAGACUGCCCUACGGGUUGUAAACUUCUUUUGUACAGGAAUAAAAGUCAUUACGUGUAAUGUAUUGCAUGUACUGUACGAAUAAGCAUCGGCUAACUCCGUGCCAGCCGCCGCAGUAA
rnacentral:rRNA from 1 species